rnacentral:rRNA from 1 species
GUGGGGAAUCUUCCGCAAUGGACGAAAGUCUGACGGAGCAACGCCGCGUGAGUGAAGAAGGUUUUCGGAUCGUAAAGCUCUUUCGUUAGGGACGAACGUGCUCUUUGUGAAUAAUGAGGAGUAAUGACGGUACCUAAAUAAGAAGCCACGGCUAACUACGUGCCAGCAGCCGCGGUAAUACGUAGGUGGCAAGCGUUGUCCGGAAUUAUUGGGCGUAAAGCGCGCGCAGGCGGGAUAUCAAGUCUGUCUUAAAAGUGCGAGGCUCAACCUCGUGAGGGGACAGAAACUGGUAUUCUUGAGUGUCGGAGAGGAAAGUGGAAUUCCAAGUGUAGCGGUUAAAUGCGUAGAUAUUAGGAAGAACACCAGUGGCGAAGGCGACUUUCUGGACGAAAACUGACGCUGAGGCGCGAAAGCCAGGGGAGCGAACGGGAUUAGAUACCCCGGUAGUCC